rnacentral:rRNA from 1 species
GAUGAACGCUGGCGGCGUGCCUAAUACAUGCAAGUCGAGCGAACGGACGAGAAGCUUGCUUCUCUGAUGUUAGCGGCGGACGGGUGAGUAACACGUGGAUAACCUACCUAUAAGACUGGGAUAACUUCGGGAAACCGUAGCUAAUACCGGAUAAUAUUUUGAACCGCAUGGUUCAAAAGUGAAAGACGGUCUUGCUGUCACUUAUAGAUGGAUCCGCGCUGCAUUAGCUAGUUGGUAAGGUAACGGCUUACCAAGGCAACGAUGCAUAGCCGACCUGAGAGGGUGAUCGGCCACACUGGAACUGAGACACGGUCCAGACUCCUACGGGAGGCAGCAGUAGGGAAUCUUCCGCAAUGGGCGAAAGCCUGACGGAGCAACGCCGCGUGAGUGAUGAAGGUCUUCGGAUCGUAAAACUCUGUUAUUAGGGAAGUACAUAUGUGUAAGUAACUGUGCACAUCUUGACGGUACCUAAUCAGAAAGCCACGGCUAACUACGUG